AUGCCUUCCCUCGCCGGUGACCUCCGGGGAAGUCGACCGCUGAACCGACAACCGACGGGCCGACACGCGCGAGCAGCCACGGAGAAGCCGGUGGCUGAGUUCGCCGGUCAUGGCGUACCCGUAUGUCUUCCACGCGCAGGCGCCACCGGCGAGAGCGGAGGAAUACAAGUCCAAGGGCGCAAUGCCGCAGCCACAGGUCAGGACCCAGUGGCCGGCCGGCAGCGGCAGCGGCGGAGGGCGUGGGCGUGGUGGCGGAGGCGGGUGGAUGGGCCUUGGCUCCCGCGAGAGGCCGCUGGCGAGCUCUUACGAUCUCGUGGAGCAGAUGCGUUACCUGUACGUGCGCGUCGUCAAGGCGCGCGGCAUCCCCGUGGGCGCGGUCACCGGCGGGUGCAGCCCCUACGUCGAGGUGCGCCUCGGCAACUACCGCGGCACGACGCCGCACCACGAGAGGAAGUCGAAUCCAGAGUGGAACCAGGUGUUCGCCUUCUCCAGGGAGCGCGUCCAGGCCACGGCGCUGGAGGUGUUCGUCAGGGACAGGGACGCCGUGGCGCGCGACGACUACGUCGGCAGGAUCGCGUUCGACAUAGCGAGGUGCCGCUGCGCAUGCCGCCCGACAGCCCGCUCGCGCCGCAGUGGUACCGCCUCGAGAACGUGCGCCAUGGUGGCAAGAUGGUGCUGCCGACCGAGGUCAUGCUCGCGGUGUGGGUCGGCACGCAGGCCGACGAGGCGUUCGGGGACGCAUGGCACGCCGACGCGGCGUCGGUGCGCGGCGGCGCUGAUGGUGUGGCCGCGGUGCAGAGCGCGCGGUCCAAGGUGUACGUGACGCCGAAGCUGUGGUACCUCCGAAUAAACGUGCUGGAGGCACAGGACGUCGUGACGGGCGGUUUCGUCGGCGACAAGGUCCGGCAGCACGUCGAGGUCUUCGCCAAGGUGCAAGUCGGCGGCAUGAUGCUCCGGACCAAGGCGUGCGCCAUGAGGAACCCGACAAGCCUGGCGUGGAACGAGGAGCUGGUUUUCGUUGUGGCGGAGCCGUUCGAGGACCCGGCGGUGCUCAUCGUCGAGGCCCGGGCGCACCCCGGCAAGGACGAGAUCGUCGGGCGUGCCGUGCUGCCGCUCACCAUCUUCGAGAAGCGCCUCGACCGCGUGGCGAUCCACUCGCAGUGGUUCAGCCUCGAGCCAUUCGGGCAUCCGUUGCGCCGGCCGGAAGCCACUUUCGCCGGCCGCGUUCACCUCCGGGCGUGCCUCGAGGGCGCGUACCACGUCAUGGACGAGCCGACCAUGUAUGUCAGCGACACGCGCCCGACGGCGCGGCAGCUGUGGCGGCCGCCCGUCGGUGUGCUUGAGGUCGGCGUCCUCGGCGCGCAGGGGCUCACUCCCAUGAAGACCACCGACGGACGGGGCACCACCGACGCCUACUGCGUGGCCAAGUACGGGCAGAAGUGGGUGCGCACGCGCACCGUCGUCGACUCGUGCAGCCCGCGGUGGAACGAGCAGUACACGUGGGAGGUCUACGACCCCUGCACGGUGCUCACGCUCGCCAUGUUCGACAACUGCCAGCUCGGCAAAGCCAAUGCCGCCGCCGGCAAGGCCGUCCUCAGAGACCAGAUGAUGGGCAAGGUGAGGAUACGCCUCUCCACUCUGGAAAUGGACAAGGUGUACACCAACGCGCACCCGCUCGUCGUGCUGCACCCGUCCGGCGUGCGCAAGAACGGCGAGCUCUGCCUCGCCGUGCGCCUCACCUCCGUUUCUCUCGCCAGCGUCGUGUGCCUGUACGGGAAGCCCCUCCUACCCAAGAUGCACUACGUCCAGCCGUUCGCCGUCCCGCAGCUCGACGCGCUCCGGCGCCAGGCGAUGAGCAUCGUGGCGGCGCGGCUGAGCCGCGCCGAGCCGCCGCUGCGGCGGGAGGUCGUGGAGUACAUGCUGGACGCGGGGUCGCACCUGUGGAGCAUGCGGCGGAGCAAGGCCAACUUCUUCCGGGUCACGGCGCUGCUGUCCGGCGCGGCCAGCACGGCGCGGUGGCUCGUGGACGUGUGCCACUGGAGGAACCCGGUGACCACCGUGCUGGUGCACUUGCUCUUCGUCACGCUCAUGUGCUUCCCGGGGCUCAUCCUGCCGACCGUGUUCCUGUACAUGUCCAUGGCCGGCCUGUGGAACUACCGGCGCCGGCCCCGCCGGCCGGCGAGCAUGGACGCGAGGCUCUCCUGCGCGGAGGCGACCCACCCCGACGAGAUCGACGAGGAGCUGGACACGUUCCCGACGUCGAAGCCGAACGACGUGGUGCGGCUGCGGUACGACCGGCUGCGGAGCGUGGCCGGGCGGAUCCAGACGGUGGUCGGCGACGUGGCGACGCAGGGGGAGAGGGUGCGCUCGCUGCUCGCGUGGAGGGACCCGAGGGCGACGGCGCUGUCCACGGCGCUCUGCCUCGUCACCGCCGUGACGCUGUACGUCACGCCACUCCGGGUGGUGGCGCUCGUCGCCGGGCUGUACGCGCUCCGCCACCCGCGGUUCCGGAGCCGGAUGCCGUCGGCCGCCGGCAACUUCUUCAAGAGGCUGCCCUCCAGGGCCGACACCAUGCUGUAG
rnacentral:rRNA from 1 species